CUGCCUCAGCCUCCCAAAGUGCUGGGAUUACAGGAGUGAGCCACUGUGCCCAGCCCCUGGUCAUUUUUCAAAGGGCAUAUGUAUGGUCUUCCCUGAAGGUCUCUAGAAGAAACUGUCAGUGCCAGUGAAGAAGAAAACGUGGGACACCAGCAGGCUGGGAAUGUGAAGCAGCAGGAAAAAUCGCAGCCCUCAGAGAGUCGCUGGCUGAAGUAUCUAGAAAAGGACUCCCAAGAACUGGAGCUGGAAGGAACAGGAGUGUGUUUCAGCAAACAGCCUUCAUCCAAAAUGGAGGAGCCAGGCCCCCGCUUCAGUCAAGACCUGCCUAGAAAAAGGAAGUGGAGCAGGAGCACCGUCCAGCCUCCGUGCAGCCGUGGCGUGCAGGACUCGGGUGGCUCUGAGGUCGCCUGGGGACCCCAGAAGGUCAGUGACAAACAGUUUCUCUCUGGUCCCAGUGACCACUGAGCGUGUGUGUGAUAAUUCUGUCUUUUGUCACAGUUGACGAAGUGUGCGAUUCCUACCCGCAGAAAGCCCAUCUUCCCACCCGGGUUUCUUGUCUUUUCUGUCUGAAGCCAACUCCUUCCUCGGGUCUGUACCCCCUUUUCCCUCCCAUGCCUCUCGUCUCCCAUGAGGGUAACUCAGGACCAAAGAGCAUUGUGACCCUUGGAGAAACUGAGGUUGGCCAGCAGGUCAACCUGACGAUGG
rnacentral:lncRNA from 1 species